GUAUCAAGUAAGGACCUUACUGGACCCUAUGGGUAGGGGAACCGAAGGUGCCCCUAAGGGUCCGGUGCCUUUGGAGCAAAUUUUAAGAAUAGGACCCUCUAGACGCUCGGAAAUUGCACUCUCAGAUGGUGGCGUUUCAUAAUAAACAAUACUGAAUAGAGUUGAAAGACUACGACAGAGACUUGACAAAUAAAUAACAAAUGAGGAGAAAGAAUCUACAAAUAUCAGGAAGAAUGUCCGGACUCGAUUGUCAAAGGUCGACAGAACUUACCAAUUAUUUAUAGACAGCCAAAACCGUUGUCACUCAGCAAGCUCAAGCUGGAUAUUAAAUUAAUUAAAAUAUAGUGUGAAUUUUAGUUUUUAAAUAUUUUCCUCUGCAAAAAUCUCGCAAAUAAUUUUAACAAUAUGUAUUAAUUCUUGUAGGCUUUAUGUUUAAUAAUAUUGUAUUAUUACUACUAAUGUUUAUCAUA